rnacentral:rRNA from 1 species
AUGUUUCUUUCCAAAAAAGCAUCAGAAGAAGCACAAUGGCACAAGCUAAAGAGGCAACCCAGUGAGAAGGAAAUGAGCCAUCCAGCUGACGGUGAUGCGUGGCAAGAUUUUGGUAAAAAAUAUCCAAAAUUUGCAGAAGAUGCUAGAAACAUGAGGCUUGGAAUCGCCACUGAUGGGUUCAAUCCUUUUGGAAACUUAAACACAAACUAUAGUAUGUGGCCUGUAUUUGUUGUGCCAUACAACCUUCCACCUUGGGCAUGCAUGGAUCAGUCAAAUUUCAUGAUGGCUCUGUUAAUUCCAGGUCCUAAAUCACCUGGCAAGCACUUUGAUGUCUUCCUACAGCCACUUGUAGAAGAUUUACUUGAGCUUUGGAAGGGUGUGCGUACAUAUGAUGCUUGUGAAGGAAAAAUGUUUGAUCUUCAUGCUCCAGUUCUAUGGUGCAUUCACGAUUACCCAGCUCUGAGCACUCUUUUGAGGGCGUACCACAAGAGGCUAUGCUGCAUGUAUUCAUUGUGA